rnacentral:rRNA from 1 species
ACUCCUACGGGAGGCAGCAGUGGGGGAAUAUUGCACAAUGGGGGGAAAACCCCUGAUGCAGCCAUGCCGCGUGUGUGAAGAAGGCCUUCGGGUUGUAAAGCACUUUCAGUAGGGAGGAAGGUAGUGUAGUUAACACCUGCACUAUUUGUACGUUACCUACAGAAGAAGCACCGGCUAACUCCGUGCCAGCAGCCGCGGUAAUACGGAGGGUGCGAGCGUUAAUCGGAAUUACGUGGGCGUAAAGCGCAUGCAGGCGGCCUGUUAAGUCAGAUGUGAAAGCCCGGGGUCUUAACCGUCGGUAAUUGCAUUUGAAACUGGCAGGCUAGAGUCUUGUAGAGGGGGUUAGAA